AUAAGUAUCGUACUUUAGUAACUUGUAUCGAUAGUAUAUUUGCCAUUGGAACAGUGUAUCACUAGUAAAAGGUGUCUCAAAUAAUAAUGUUCAGUAGAAAUUGAAAUAAUUCUUAAAAACUGAACAAAUAUCUUUGAAACAAAUGGCCAUUAGUAAAUUAUUUCAUAAGGUGGUGCAUCUCAGAAUGACGGAAUCGCACUAGUAAAGCAGCUGCGGCCUGCGGGGCAGGUUCAGAAUUCAGAUUCAGACGACUAAAAGGCGUCGACGGCACGAAGGCACAAAUCGAGGCGUCGUAGUGUAAUUACGACGCAUUUUUUGUGUCAAAAGUUUUCAUUGGCAGCCUUGACGACUUUAUGCAUUUUCCUUGCCAUAAGUCCUGGUGUGUGUGAAUCAGCAUCUUUGGUCGCCUGUGGAGAUUUGAGAGAGAUGGAACUUUUCCUUUUCCUUAUGCUAGAGGCUGAUAACCAAGAAAUUUUUGACAUGGUUCUCCACCUCACUGCUUAUCAUUAUCCUGAAAAUAUCGUCUUGCCACAAGGAUAUACUCCUCCAAAUCUGGCAGUUAGCACCCUUUACUGGAAGGCUUGGUUGAUGCUAUUGAUGCUGAUUGCUCAUAAUCCUGGCAGUCUUGGGUCUGAGGCAUGGAAUUCAUUCCCUCCUAUACUCCGAGCAUUGAUGGAGAUGUGUAUCACAAAUGAUUUCGCUACUUCUUCUGGUACCACAGACCAGACAGAGUUGCAGGUGGCUGCAAUUGAAAAGCAAACCAUCUUGGAAUUCGAAACAGAUCUAGGAGCCGCCUCUACAAAAACUGUUAUUACCGAGAACAAUUCUUUGCUGCUUAGUCAAUUGACAUCACUUGAUCCACGAGGAUCUACGCGACGACCUCCUCCGGCUGUUAUUGAGCAGCUUCGAACUUUGAACGCAACACUUCUACUUUGUAGAAGUCGCCAACCGAACUUUUUAUUGUAAAUUCUGCAUAGGCAAGGAGCUGCGCAAACGAAGCCAUGGCUGGCUGAUUUGGUCGAGUCCAAUGAAGGUGCUUGGAACGUUCUGCCUGUUCAAUGUCUUUCUUGGCAAACGCAAGGAACGUCGUCACAAACACCAACAGUUGGUCCAGCAUCUAAGAUUUUUGUUGACUGAUCCCAAUCAACUACCCGAAGCAUGCCGUGAAGUCCUAGACUAUUUGAUGAGACGAUUGAGUGCUCAGAAAGCUCUCGCCCGUCACCAAGCCCUCACGGCAUUGAGUGUGGUCUUGGCAGUAAAAGACGAUGAUAUUACCAUGAGUGAUGGUGCAUGCUCCGAAGGAACAGGAGACGAUUCCCAGUUCUCUUGGCUUGUUCAUCAGUUACCUACCAUCCCACAUUUCGAAGCCGUACGCCCUGCCGUGAUUGCUGCUCUACGGGCCGCCUUUCUAAUUGAAACAAAACCACUAGCCAUGUGUAUGCGUCAUCGUAAACAUCCGAUUCCGAUAUUUCCUUAUUUUUCAUAAUUUUUCCGUGCUUUCCCCUUUUUUCCCCAUUUUUAUCCAAAAUUUUCCAAUAUUUCCUAAUUUUCUUGGAGCAGGACGCAAGUCCUGACUAGUGACGUUUUUUUUAAUACAUAGCCAUCUAGCGCUCA